AAGCAUUUAAUAGUUCAUCAAAGGAUAAAUUUACAUCAAAUGAACUACUCACCUAAUCUCUAAUGGACAUUAGUGCAUAGUGAGCAACUUGCUCGGUGUUGGUAGGCUCAUCUACUUCGGAUUCACUUGAGUCGUCCCAUGUUGCUUUGAGAGCCUUCUUCUUUGGUGUCAUCUUCUUAUCUUGGGGACAUUUGCACUUGUAGUGUCCCG
rnacentral:lncRNA from 1 species